rnacentral:rRNA from 1 species
UACGUAGGGGGCAAGCGUUGUCCGGAAUCAUUGGGCGUAAAGAGCGCGUAGGCGGCCCGAUAAGUCCGCUGUGAAAGUCAAGGGCUUAACCCUUGAAUGCCGGUGGAAACUGUCGGGCUAGAGUCCGGAAGAGGCGAGUGGAAUUCCUGGUGUAGCGGUGAAAUGCGCAGAUAUCAGGAGGAACACCGGUGGCGAAGGCGACAUCCUGGACCAACACUGACGCUGAGGAGCGAAAGCGUGGGGAGCGAACAGG